GUGAACCAUAUUUGACAAUGCAAGGGUCCUCUAGUUAAAUCAUGUUAUGAGCAGAUUGUUUACUCCACAUUAUCUCCAAGUUCAUCCUACGAUAUCACUAUACAAGUCAUAUCGCAAUAUGUUUUCAGCCACCAGUCUAUGACAACCAUGCUGGACUUGCUAAUUGCUUGGAAAAAUGGUAUCACUAGAUCAACAAUUAAUGUAAGUUACCAUAAUAAAAGGGGUUUAUAUUUCCGGACACAGUAGUAUGUCGGCGUGUUCGUUAUCCAGGAACAGCAAAUGUCUCGAUAAUUAUCAGGUAACGUUGGUAUUGUAACAUAUCUUGUUUGUUUAUUCGGUUUAUUGGAUAGAGAAGAAUAAUGAUUAAAUUAAUGUGAGAGAAGCUUGAAAAUAGAAACAUGCCAUAUGCUUUUCCAUGGCAUCUAAUUAACAUCAAUGCCAAACAAAUUUAAUGAUUUAGAUUAGAGCUUUAAAUAUAUCAAGUUAAUAAACAUGGUGUGUAUUAGGUAGAUAGACACAUGUAAAUACGUAACUAAAUGUGCAACAUAUAGCUAGAAGCCCAGAACAUAACGGAACCACUAGAGUGUAAAACAAUUGGCAUUUAGACCCACUGCCCACAGAUAUAUAUAGUCCACAAACUAUGACUAAUCAUGAGUGAGGCAAUCAUGUCCACAAACUAUGAC
rnacentral:lncRNA from 1 species